rnacentral:rRNA from 1 species
CACUUAGGGAGGAGCCUCGGUCCUAUCAGCUAGUUGGCGGGGUAAUGGCCCACCAAGGCUAUGACGGGUAGGGGACGUGAGAGCGUGACCCCCAACGACGGAACUGAGAUUAACGAUAGUCUCCUAAGAGAGUAAUCUCUUAGUAAAAUCUAGCUUAUAACGGUGAAAUCUCUGCGUGUGGAUAAUUUAUAUUCACAAGUUUUGGGGGUUGUACUACAAUACCCAAUAUGGAGACAACGCCGUGGGAAGUUAAUAGCAAAAAUGUUUCUGACCAGUAUAUCGCAGGAUUUUUGGAUGGCGAUGGGUCUAUUGUGGCGGCAAUUGAAAAACGUCCCGAUAGACGGCGCUUUCCUUAUCGCGUGCGAUUAAAGAUAAAUUUUACCCAACAUAUUCGACAUAAAAAUAUGAUGUUUCUUCUUCAGGAAGCAUUGGGUAAAGUCGGAUCUGUCAGAUUUAUUCGAACUCAUAAUCUUGCCGAAUUGGUCAUUCAAAAGCGGCAGGAUGUUAAACAUACUCUUGAACGCUUACUGCCGUACCUGAUUCUUAAACAGAGGCAGGCAAAAAUUAUGCUUGCUAUGAUUGAAAUAUUUGACCACGGAGUGGUCAAAGUUCGCAGUUCUCUUUCGGAUAAAGACUUUGAGAAAUUAUUCUCAAUGGCAAAAGAACUGCGAAAUCUUAAUGCAGGCGCAGGAGGCAAAAAGAACUAUGAGUUCAUUAACCCCGUAACGACUCAUUCCGAGUUUACUCGGAAUGGAUAGCCAGGAUUUAUCUUGGUUAUAACACGCUAGCCCCCUUGUACGAUCAAACGAGGGGUGAAGACAUAGUCUAUANNNNNNNNNNNNNNNNNNNNNNNCGAAAGCCUGAUCGAGCGACGCCGCGUGCAGGAUGAAGGCCUUCGGGUCGUAAACUGCUUUUAACUGGGAACAAGUCCGGCCCUUUCGGGAUGGAAUUUUUUGAGUGAAAAUUUUCUUUUUCGAGAGGGCCGGAUUGAGCGUACCAGUGGAAUAAGGAGCUGCAAACUUCGUGCCAGCAGCCGCGGUAAUACGAAGGCUCCAAGCGUUAUCCGGAUUUAUUGGGCGUAAAGGGUCUCCAGGCUGUUUUGUUAGUCCGGCGUUAAAUCUCACCGCUUAACGGGGAGAGUGCGUUGGAUACGGCAAAACUUGAGGCAAGAAGAGGCAUACGGAACUCAUGGUGUAGGGGUGAAAUCCGUUGAUAUCAUGGGGAACACCAAAUGCGAAGGCAGUAUGCUGGUCUUGUCCUGACGCUCAUGAGACGAAAGCGUGGGGAGCGAAUAGGAUUGACACUCGUCCCGGUAUUCAUUUGCUUAAAAAUAAAUGAAGACCGCGGACUCGCUAAGAGAAAAAGGAGAACGAAAGUGAAAUGUUUUAUCAAGAGUUCAAGCAAAGAAGCAAUUCACUCUGAUGUGGUUGAAUUUAUCUAUACACUUGGGAGUAUUCAAGGCAUUUCUGACAAUGGCGAUUUAGUUAUUGUAGAGGUGCUGCGAGAGGAUCUUUCUAAGUUAGAAGAAUAUUGUUCAGCGCAUGGAUUGGAACUUGAGAAAACAUUAGGUUUUUCUUUCUAGCGAACCGCAGGGUAUGCGGUGAGUCUGAUUCUCCGAAGCUCGAAAGAGCGAAGGAGGAAAACUAGUCCCCCCGAUGUGCGAUUCGCAUAACGGGGAUAAAAAACCUAUCCCGAUUUUGUAUGAAUCCGCCAUAGGCGGAGAGUCUACAAAAUCGAGGACCCGCCAAAGCCGUGAGGCGACGGCGGGGCUAUAUUCGGGAAAACCCUACUUUGUGAAAACGAAGGGGCAACCCGCAGGGAAGUCCGAUGCAACAGCGGACCCCUCAGAGACUAUACGCUGGGCCCGAAAUAAAACUCGGCGGCGAGUGAGUUACUCGCUCGCCCAAAUUUUUCUUUCGGUGAUGAUAUAGUCCGAACUCGGCCGUAAUGCCGAGAAACGAGCAGAAAUGUCUCGUUCCGCAAUUUAAAAUUGAAAAUUUAGAAUUUAAAAUUUCAAUUUUGUUGCGAGCAACAAAAUUGUAGAUACCCUAGUAGUCCACGCCCUAAACGAUGCAGACUCGUCAUUGGAAGUAUCGACCCUUUCAGUGGCCAAGCUUACGCGUUAAGUCUGCCGCCUGGGAAGUACGGCCGCAAGGCUAAAACUCAAAGGAA